UCGAGAAUCAUUCGCAAUGGGGGAAACCCUGACGGUGCGACGCCGCGUGGAGGAUGAAGGUCUUCGGAUUGUAAACUCCUGUCAUCAGGGAGUAAGGCUUGGUGGUAAAUAGCCAUCAAGAUUGCUAGUACCUGAAGAGGAAGGGACGGCUAACUUCGUGCCAGCAGCCGCGGUAAUACGAAGGUCCCAAGCGUUGUUCGGAAUCACUGGGCGUAAAGGGUGCGUAGGCGGCGGGGUAAGUCAGAUGUGAAAUUUUCGAGCUCAACUUGGAAACUGCAUCCGAUACUACUUUGCUUGAGUAGCGGAGGGGAGUCUGGAAUUCACGGUGUAGCAGUGAAAUGCGUAGAGAUCGUGAGGAACACUAGUAGCGAAGGCGAGACUCUGGACGUUUACUGACGCUGAGGCACGAAGGCCAGGGGAGCAAAAGGGAUUAGAUACCCCCGUAGUCCCUGAGCGGGCUGGCAAGGCGCAU
rnacentral:rRNA from 1 species